AUUGAACGCUGGCGGCAGGCCUAACACAUGCAAGUCGAGCGGAUGAAGAGAGCUUGCUCUCUGAUUUAGCGGCGGACGGGUGAGUAAUGCCUAGGAAUCUGCCUGGUAGUGGGGGAUAACGUUCCGAAAGGAACGCUAAUACCGCAUACGUCCUACGGGAGAAAGCAGGGGACCUUCGGGCCUUGCGCUAUCAGAUGAGCCUAGGUCGGAUUAGCUAGUUGGUGAGGUAAUGGCUCACCAAGGCGACGAUCCGUAACUGGUCGGAGAGGAUGAUCAGUCACACUGGAACUGAGGCACGGUCCAGACUCCUACGGGAGGCAGCAGUGGGGAAUAUUGGACAAUGGGCGAAGGCCUGAUCCAGCCAUGCCGCGUGUGUGAAGAAGGUCUUCGGAUUGUAAAGCACUUUAAGUUGGGAGGAAGGGCAUUAACCUAGUACGUUAGUGUUUUGACGUUACCAACAGAAUAAGCACCGGCUAACUUCGUGCCAGCCGCCGCGGUAAUAC
rnacentral:rRNA from 1 species